ensembl:ncRNA asRNA:CR44321 antisense RNA:CR44321
AUGAAAGAGCGGAUGAAAAGUAAGAGAGCCGGUUGAGCCGGUAGAGAAAACUACUACUCACGAAAGUGAGCCAAAAGUCACCCGAUAAGGCUUCUUAUCGCCUGCAGUUCGCGUAGCCCCCCCACUCCUUCAACCGCGGUGCAUAGGUCAACAACACUCGAGAGCCUCGAGGUUCUAGAACUUGUCAUAAAAGUGGCGAGCACGCGGAAAUGAUUCGCUGCUGCUCUGUAGAUUUGGAUUACGAAACACCCAGAGAAAUGGGAACGAUUACGCGACUUUUCAACUGCACUGCCGCCAAUGGGGGGAAAAAUAUCUGAAUUUUUUUUAAGGGGCUCAGGGGUUCUGUUCACUGCGUAUGACGCCCACUCACCGAACUGGAAACUGAAUCUGGGAUGUGGUGAUUAGCUGCUGGCUACUGGCUGGGUCCGCUGCUGCUGCUGCACUGGAGGAGAGCGGUUAACGCUUUUAUUUUCGGCCCGUGUCGCUGCUACUGCCGCUGCCGAUGCCUCUGCUACCGCUGACUGCGGCGUCAACGUGAAAUUCCAAAGCG